AACGAACGCUGGCGGCAGGCUUAACACAUGCAAGUCGAACGGGUGUAGCAAUGCAUCAGUGGCAGACGGGUGAGUAACACGUGGGAACCUUCCUAGGGGUACGGAACAACUCAGGGAAACUUGAGCUAAUACCGUAUACGUCCGUGAGGAGAAAGAUUUAUCGCCCUUAGACGGGCUCGCGUCGGAUUAGCUAGUUGGUGGGGUAACGGCCUACCAAGGCGACGACCCGUAGCUGAUCUUAGAGGAUGAUCAGCCACACUGGGACUGAGACACGGCCCAGACUCCUACGGGAGGCAGCAGUGGGGAAUCUUGGACAAUGGGCGCAAGCCUGAUCCAGCCAUGCCGCGUGAGUGAAGAAGGUCUUCGGAUUGUAAAGCUCUUUUGCCGGGGACGAUAAUGACGGUACCUGGAGAAUAAGCCCCGGCAAACUUCGUGCCAGCAGCCGCUGUAAUAC
rnacentral:rRNA from 1 species